GAGCACAAAGAGCAUGCUGAAAGCACAAAGAAAGGAAAGCCAAACAAGGAUAAAAGUCUUUUUAAUGGCACCGCAAUGAAUCAUACAGAAAGUGCACUAGGAGGAGAAACACACAAAACAGGGAGAAAAAGAGGGAUAAAACAUAAAGAAUGAAAGCAACCCUGCAAAAAGAAAACACAACCAGGCUGGAUAUGCUUGCAGUGAUUCUUUUUUAUGUCAUUUACCACCGACUCAUACAAAAACAAUAGCAGAAGUGAGAGCGCAAAGUCAUGAAUCUCUAUCGCCCCCGUUAUCAGAGAAACUACUAUGCUGUUCUGAGAUAUAGUGGCUUUCUGUGGCUUAAGUUGAAACUGAAGCCUGUCUGUGGAUGUCAGUUUAAAUAUAGUCUUUAACGUGAUGCAACAGCUGGUAAAACGGUUCAAAUAAAACUCCCCAACUGAAGUAGGUCCUACAACAAAACACUGGAGAAAAGACACUUAAAAAAUAAUACUGCUGGAUAAACUAACAGAAAGCCAGCCAGCCUGUGCUGGUUUUCACCUUUUUGUCCGAAUAAAUGCUUCAAUGUCCAACCAUUACCUCAAACCCCAGAGGAUUGAUACAUAACCGAACAUAUUAAUCACCAACAAGGCACCAAUCCUGAUGCAGAGUGCUGAUAUCAGUGCACAACACUCUUGGGUGCAGUUUCAAACAUUCUUCUCCGACAGCUAACUCGAGUUUGUAAUUAUAUACAUCCUCUUGUUAACGACUAAAAAUCCCAACUUCAGCUUUGCAAGCCGCGACAUUGCAUUGCAUGCAUCGUAUCAGAUUAUCGAACGUGGGUCAGUCGUGUUCAGUCAAUACCCAAUACGCAACCAGUAUGGGUUGAUGGACUUCAUUUAUUUUCCGGUCCUAGUUGAACUAUGGUGUAUAUUAUAAGAAUUUUCUUCUUCUCAAAAGUCAACUCUUUUUCUGUUCCAAUCUCUUUUUCCUAUCUCAUUUUUUUCCAUUUGUCACCGAACAUCAUAUUUCCCCUAUGUUCAUCGACUGCCACCACUCUUAAUUAAGUUGCAUGAAAUUACAUAGAUUUAAAUGCCCGUUUUCCUUAUAUAUCUGGAAUUGUGUCAGGAAGGGCAAAUUAAUUAAAAUGCAAACUGUUUCCAACAACGUCACAUUCAUUUAUAAUCUUUACGAAAUUUUACAUUCAUCUGCUUCAGAGUGCUCGAAAACAAACAAGCCAUCGUGAUACAAACAUUAGUUCACAGAGGAAAAUCAAACUUUUUGUAAUGCUCUGGAUCUGCAUUCAGAUGUCGGAGUGUUGGUGCUUUUGAGAAAUCCUGCCCAAAUAUUUUGUAAAUUAAUGUUAAAGGCAAUGCUAGAACUGUCUUUAAAUAUAACUUUGU